ensembl:lncRNA
GCCCCCUUUUUUCCCUGCUCUUGGAAUCUUCCCCAGGAAGAUUCUUCCCAAAAUUCCAUGAGAUCCCAGGCUGUGUUUGCCACAAACAUCCAGGAACUCCCAUUCCCAUGGGAGCUCCCAGGUUUUAUGGGAGACACAUCCCAUUUAUGGGAAUUCUGCUCAUUAUUCCCAAAUAAAUCCAACCUGCCUGGAUCAGGGAUUCAAACCCUCCAAAAUCCCCUCCAUCCUCCCAGGAAUUCCCUCUCCUUAGCCCAAAAUUCAUUCUAUUUUGUCCCAGCAGUGCAGGGAGUUCCCAUUUUUCCCAAAAAAUCCCCGGUUUGGACGCUGGGAAUGCUCCAGUUCCAUAAUUCCAGGUACCCCUUUCCCUGCCUGCAGGAGCAGGAAUCUGCCAUUCCAUGGAGCCCUGGUGUUUUUUGGGAGGAAUUCCAGGCACUUGUUGUCAUCUUUUCCAUUCCCACUUGGAGAAGGCACCUCCAGCUCCGUGGAAAAGAUGGAAAAAGCGUGGAAAGGGAGGUCUGGAAACCCCUCACAGCUCUGGAAAAUGCCGGAGCAAAAUCAAAUCCCACAUGGGAUGAGCUUUUUCCAGCGUUAAAUAUCCAAGCGGAAUUUUUUCCCCCCCCCCGGAGUUUAAUAACUUGAAUUUUUUCCUCAUGGAUUUUCCGCUCUCUGGGAUGCACUUCCAUGAGUCUGGGUGGCUCCUUGGAAAGUUUAGAAAAGGGGGAAAAUUUCAAAAAUACCUGGAAAAUCAAAUCUCUUCGGAGCCACUCCAAUAUUCCUUUAGAAAUAUAUGGAAAAAAAAAAACAAAAAAACCAAAAAAAAAAACCAUAAACACGAAAUUCUUGGAAUCCAUUCCCAAACAAUUCCCAGCAGCCAAAAGCAGCAUUAAAAGGCUCAGAGGGAAGGAGAGGCGCCAAAAUCCUCGGAUUCUGCGUUUGGAAUUUGGCAGCUGGAUCCCAGCACAUCUCUGCUGUAUUCCAGGGGAUUUUGUGGAAUUCUUUGGGAUGGGAUUGGAAGAUGCCCAGCAGGAAUUGGGGUCUCAAAACAUUCCCGUUUAUUCCACGUCCUGUCAGCUCCUGGAAUUCGCCAGCUCCUGGAAUUCUUAUCCAGUUCCCAGAAUUUUUAUCCAGCUCCCUCUGCACAUCCAUGGUUUUUAUUCCAGAGGCUUUUGUUUGCUCCCAGAUUUAUCCAUUUUUUACCCGUGUCCACAUUUUUCCUUGGAUUUUUUUUUCCUGCUAAAUUGCAGAUCCCUGAGUUUUUAUGCCCAUGUCCAUCCAGAGGAUCCUGCUGGAAAAAUUCCAUUUUUUCCAAGCAGAGGAACCAAAAGAAGGAAAAACUCAAGGUGGAUCCUGCGGAUGUUGGCAGGAAAAGUUGGGAAAAGUUGGUGGGAAAAGUAACCAGGGAUGGGCUUGGCUCCAGUGUCCUGCUUGGAAAAGCAGGAAAAAAUUCCCAGUUUCCAGGGAAUUUGGCCCUUGGCCACCCCAGCAGUGGUGGUGGCAUGGAAAAAUGGGAUUAGAGAUCCCAAAUAUCCUGGGAAUUGCAGCCCCUCAGCUGGGAUGGAGCUGAACCAGCUCCUAUGGAUGGAAUGAGGAUAUUCCCAAAAUUGGGAUUUUCCAGCAAUUUCCCUCAGAGAGCUCAGGAAUCCUGGGAAACACUGAAUUCCUAACUUUUACCCCAAGGCAUCACCCGGGAAAAACUCCCAAUCCUGGUGAAAAAUGGGGCUGGGAGCCGUGGAAAGAGAAACCCCAACUUCCCGAAAUUCCACGGAAUCGGAAUCUCAGGUUCAGGAUACGGGAGGGUUUUCCAAAGCUGGAAAAGGUUGGAUUCUGGAAUUCCAGGAGUGCCCAUGGCAUUAAUUAUGGGAUUCAGCCUAGAUUCAUCCACCUGGGAGGCAGAUCCUGAAUUCCAGGGAAUUCCAUGGGUUUUGGAGCAUCCGGAUGUGCUCCUGGAAUGCACCAAAGAUCUGGGUGGGAUUCCCUGGGAUUGGCCCCAGGAUCAACCCCGGGAUCCCCCUGGGAUCGGUCCUGGGAUCAGCCAAACCCACCACAAAGCCCCAAACCUGAACCAUUCCCACAUUCCCCAUGGAUAUUCCCCAUGGAUCUCUUCUCCAGGCCCCACGGAAACUGUUAACAACCAGGCUGGCCUGGACCCGAAUUCCAGAUGUGAUUCCAGCUGUUCCAGAGCCUGAGGGGGCUCCAAGGAAUCGCGAUCCACACCCACAUUUCCCAAAUUCCCAAUAUUCCUUUAUCCCACCUAAAAUUCCUCUUUUUUUUUUUUUUGGAAAACCUUUCCUUCAUUCAGCACCUCCAGGAGCAACAUCACCCUGGCACAGCAAUUCCUGCCCCAAACUGGGAAUUCUGGAGGAGGUUUGGGGUGGAUUGGUGCAAUUCCCGCCGGAAUUCCCGCCGGAAUUCCCGGUUUCCCGGAGCCCGCUCACCAUUUCUUGCCGCCGAUGUCGUGCUGCUGCACCGUGUAUCCAAAAAAAGAUUCCCUGGAUCCCGCGAUGAUCUGGGGCCUCGCGGUGUCGAUGUUGAAGGAAUUCCCCAAUCCUGGGGGAAAAAAAAAGGGAAGGAUCCAUCAGCCAAAAAGCUGGAAAACGCCAAUUCCACACGGCCAGCUGGGAAUUCCCAAAUCUCGGAAGGGAAUUAUUCCAAUCCCAGCCCCACUCCUGCGUGGGGUUGGAUUCCAACCUUGCCCAUCCCAAAGGCGCUCCCAGUUUUUUGAGGAUGCUCCAGGGAUGGUUUGAUCCCGUUCCCAUCCCAGCCAGGAUGGAAAUUCCAAAGCGUUCCAGCCCUGCCUCGUCUGCAGCUUCCCAAAAUUCCGCUCUCCAUCCUGGAGUUCCCAGCCCUUGGAGCUCAUUUAGGAUUCGGGAUUCCUGGAAUUCAGCCCUCAACAGCUGGUCCUGGGUAUUCCCUGGAGCCAGGAUGGGAAUGGGAAGGAGAAAGGAGCUCCUCCCUCUGGAAUCCAUGGAUGAGCCGGGCUGGAUUCGGCACUUCCAUGGGAAUCACGGGAUGGGAUCCAUGGAAAAGGGAUCCUGGCCAUUCCCCAGGGCUUUCCCAAAGAUCCAAAGGUGGGAUUCCCUUUCCCUGUGGGAGCAGGAGUGAGGAGAGGCAGCUCUGGACAGGGAUUUCCCUGAGGAUGGAGUUCCAACCGGGAUUUUUGGGAUUAGUCCUUUCCCUAUAUUCGUUUCCCACAGAACAGUGGGAACAGGGUCCCUGUCCUGGCACCCCAAUCCCGGGAUUCUGGUGCUCACAGGGGAAAAAUUCCAGAGAAACUUCCUGUCCCUGGAGCAAAAUUGAAGGAAUUUUC